CGGGAUUUGUUUAUGGUGAUUAUCAAUCACUUUAAUUCUAUAUAUACUCACAUGACUUAUAAUUCCGAAAAUCAAUCCAAUAGAGAUUGCACUGGAAUGGGAUAUCAAUGUCCUUUGCCUCGAUAGAUCAUAAUUAUUAGUUUAACAACAAAAUACAAAAAUUACUACAUUCUAAAUGUGGUGUUUAUUUAUAUAAAUAAAAUUACUAAUUAAAGACUAGUCUAGUAAAGCAUCAUGUUCUUUGGUUAUGGAAUGUGAAAAAUACAAUAAUAAUGAUUGUAUCGAGCUCUAUUUUUGUUAAGAAUGCGACAUCACAUUUUUGUAAUCUAAAUUUAAAUAUUACACUUAUACACUAUAAGAAAAAAAGUCUGAGCUACACUUUUUCCUUACUACGCUUCAAAAGCGUUGCUAAAAGAGGUCAAUGGCCACACUUUUAUGAGGAGACGGUAGAUUAAAGAUUUGACCGCGCUUUUUCAUACCACGCUUCAAAAGCGUGUACAAAAUGGUCAAUGACUAUGUUUUUAUGAGGGUGGCAAUUGAUUAGAAAUUUGAUCAUAUUUUUUGUGCCAUGCUUCGAAAGCGUGGCCAUAGAGAGCAACAGACAUGCUUAUAAAGCGUGCCAAUAGAGUAGCCAUACGUUGACAAUUGUAAAGUGUGCCAAUAUAUAGGGUAUGUUUAAUAUACUGAGCAAAAACACUUCACUAUUAACACCUACACUUAACGUUUUUCAUCAUUCUUCAUCGCGCCUCCAACCUUAACCCCAGAACUUCAUCGCGCUUCCAACCCCUGCUUCGGUGCUCCCUACAUCGGCUCUCCCUCCAUUGGCGCUCCCUCUAUCGGCGCUCCCUUCGUCUCAAAGCCUCCGUCAUGCCCACUCUCUCACAAUCCCUCAAACGUUGCUCCUUCCUCCAUCGUUGAAACCCAUAACGCUCUGUUUUUCCUCCUGCAUCGCCGGUCUCUAUCUUCUCCUGCGUGUGGCUAUGCUGCAACUCCCUAACUAAACUUCUACCUCUACUUCAAGGAUUUUUUUUUCUCCAUCGGAUCAGGACUAAUCUGAUUAUAGGAACAUGACUAAUUUUUGGAUAUCUUUUGAUCUUGAACAUUGAUUGGUUUCAGAAACGACUCAAUGAAAACGACGAGGUCUCUUUUUAGUUUUGAAUAACAAAGAAGGAUGACAAGCUGGCGAUGGAAAUGGCGAUGGAGAACUAAGAUAGUACUCCAAUAGCACCAAAUAGAGAAGGAUUUUUUAUCUGGUUCUGUGUAGUUUUGGGUGGAAGGUUGGGCGUUCUGAAUUUAGGAAUUUUAUUAUUCUGUUUUUUCAUGAGGGUUCACUGUUUUCUUUUUUAUUAUUGCAAUUUGCUUAUGAUUUUGUAUCCUUCUUUGUUAGGGUUUAUUGAUUUUGCAAUUUUCUCAUUAUGAUUCUACAUCUUGCAUUUCAGGCAUAAAAACAAACAAAAGAAAAUUCUGUUAUGCUAGUUUAUGAUGUUUACCAUUUUCUUAGCAAAACUAUAUUAUGGUUCAUUUUCUUUGUUUUAUCUAAGAUUAUGUUGGAGAUUGGGAUUUGAAGAAAUUUCAAAUUGUUUUCUAAAUUUAUGAUAUCAAUUAGAAAAAUAUAAAAAUCAUUUACGAAUCUUCUCUUGUUUAAUCAUAGUAUUGCUUCCUUCUUCUAUUGGAGGUUCUAAUUACACAAUCAGUGUAUGAGUUUCAAAUCCUGGGAGUUUUUUUCGUAAUUGAUUCAGCACAAUUCACUGUCUACUCUGCAAUGAAUUGAUGUUUAAGGUAAGGUUCAGAUUCAUCUAGCCUAACAAGCAACUGCUCCUGUUAUGUUAGAUUCCUAGUCCAAGCUCCCUCAUCUGUACAAGUGAGCUAGAACCUUGUUUAGACUAUCCAAAUCUGCUAAUAUUUCAAGUGCCAUUGUUUGAGUUAUCAUCAUUGAUGCUUUUUUGCUAGAAUAUCUUGUCAACAUGUUUAGCUCAUGUGCCAUUUACCAAACCUCUUUUAGCUGCUUCCUGGUUCUUUUCAAGUGGCCAGUGAUUCAAAUUUUACCUUUUCUAGUUUAUUGCUUUUGUUGCAAGAGUUCUUUGCCUAAGUCUGUCCAUGGUCUUAUCAUGUGUUGAGUUUUUGGAGUAUCUUUAAUAAAAAUCAGCCAAGAAAACUCAGAUCCAUAUCACCUCUAUUUCUCUCAUGGACGACUUAUAAUUUGAAUCUCAUUCUACUUAUAAUCCAAAAUCUUUUAUAAUUGAUUCAGGUGCCUCCAAUCAUGUAGCCAAUAAUCGAAUUAGAUGUACCCUUUCUACAAUAAUUAAUUCAGGUGCCUCUAGACUAGAGUCACACAAUUUCCUCUAGGCCAACAUAUUAUUCUGCAUUUUGCAUUUCGAUGUAUAUUACUUCAUUUUGGUUUUGUUGGUGGUUAUAUCAUUGGAUGUGUUCUAAUUCUUGUGGACUAUAAUGGUUUUAACUUUGGAAAAAUUUGGUGAAAUUUUGCAAUUAAGGGCAUUCAAAAUAUCUAUAGAAGGUUAUGUUCUGCUUCAGUUUGCACCCACAGUUGCUUCGCGCCAGUAUGACUGGACUAGAAAGCAAGUAUUCUCAUUAUCAAUGGGUGAAAUGGGAACUGUGAUUCUUGGCGCAAGGGAGUCUUGUGAAUUCUUCCAUGAUCGUAUAAAGGGCAAAAGUAUCUCUUCAGAUUUUGGUGAAGAAAGUGGCGGGAGUGAUCGGACUAUCUAAAUACCAAGACAAUCUCGGGAAG